rnacentral:rRNA from 1 species
UACGAAGGGGGCAAGCGUUGUUCGGAAUUACUGGGCGUAAAGGGACGGCGUAGGCGGUGCUCUAAGUCAGGCGUGAAAAGCCCCCGGGCUCAACCCGGGAAUUGCGCUUGAUACUGGGGCGCUUGAAUCCAGGAGAGGUUGGUGGAAUUCCCAGUGUAGAGGUGAAAUUCGUAGAUAUUGGGAAGAACACCGGUGGCGAAGGCGGCCAUCUGGACCGCAACUGACGCUGAGGCGGCGAAAAGCGUGGGGAGCAAACAGG